rnacentral:lncRNA from 1 species
GGGGGGCGGAGUCUGCGCUGAGUGAAGAGGUGCCAGAAUCCGCGAAGAGGGUCGACGAAUGCGCUGCCGCGGAGGGCCGUGGAAGAACUUGCCGAUGGAGGGACCACAGAGGGAUCUAUGGGAGAACAACGGCAACUGCAGGAGAGUGGGCCAAAUAAUCAUGGCAACAGGACUUUUAGAAGCACGUCCUCUGAAAGCCAUUUUCUGCCUGUGGUUGGAAAGGGACUGUGAGUCUUUCCUCAGGAAGUCAGUAGCCCUACCUGGUGAGGUGAUCAAGAGUUUGCUAGCACAAGAGAUGAAGCAACAAUGGCCAUGAGGGAUUCAAGGAUUAUGCGUCUCUGCACCCUACAAUACACCAACUGGCAGUUCCAUCAUUUGAAAGAAAAUCUUCAAGGUAAAGACAUUUACAAUGACACAAAAACCUUUCAAAGGCAUCAUGGUCCUAAAGGGCUUUCCCCAAGGGACAGCACAGUGUGUUCCAGGCCCUGACAAGAGGAACUGCUGCGGAGACCUUGGGUUCACCAUUCAGGUUUAAGACCUGUGACACAGACUGAAGCUCUCCUGGCAUACUCUGAAGCUCUCCUGGCACCCUCCCCUUUAUGCUUCACAGGUGUUUCUCCUAAUAAAUUUCUUGUAUGUCUCAUCCCAUCUGGGAAUCUGCUUCUCAGAAGACUCAAACUAACAUAUCUGCCCACUAUGUAUCAGGCACUGUGCUAGGUGCUGGAGACCUAAAAAUGGAUAAAACAGACAAGAGCCCUUCAUUCAUGGUGCUUGCAUCAUAGUGGGGGUAAAUAUUCCAUAAGCAAGAGAAUAAAUAGAUAAGAUAAAUUUAAAAACUAGAGAAUGACUUGUUAUAAAUUGAUUGGUAAUCAGGGAAGGUCUUCUGAGGAGAUGACACUUAAGCUGACACCUGAAUGAGAAGAAGGGGCUGGUCAACUGAAGACCUAGAUGAGAGUAUUGUAGGCAGAGGGAAGAGCAAGGACCACAGGUUGAGAAAGAAACUAGUUUGACAUAUUUGAUGGGGGAAAAGCCAGUUUGAAGAAUAAUAAAAAAGGGAAUGAAUGGAAUAAACAAGGACAUUAAAGAACUAGAGAGGAGCCUGAUCAUCACAGUAAGGCAUUUAGAAUAGGUUAGGGAGAAGACCAUUCUCUAUCAGGGUAGAACUGAAAAGGCUACGUCUGCUGCUAAAUGCUGCUAUAAAAAGACAAGGGCUUUCAUAUACUACAGAUGCAAUCUUUUGGAUCCACUUAUAUUGAGCAGACUUCGUGGACCCUCCUAAGAAAGUAGGCACCACAAAAAUAUUACAUCUAUACAAAAUGCAGGGCUCCAAGCCAUAGAUGUAUAUAUCACAUUGUGUGUGUGUGUGUGUGUGUGUGUGUGUGUGUGUGUGUGUGUGUGUGUGUCUGUAAAGCCAGCCAGUUUGUAAGCUGAACAUGACUCCCACAUGCUUUCAGAGAGAAGAGAAAAGAGAGAGGACCGUGUACUGGAAUAAGCCCUAAGAACUUCUUGGAAGAAGGGGAAGUUAGCUGAUCAAAAUUAUGUUGCUUUCUAGAAAAGAAGUAAAAAGCCAGGCAGUUUCUUUUGCUAGAACUGUCUGGGUAGAUUUCCAUUCUAAGAAAAUUACAACAAUGUAUAGUUUUAAAUAGCUAGAAGGAGAAUACUGAAUGUUCCCAACACAAAGAAGUGAUAAAUAUUUGAAAUGACGGAUAUAUUCAUAGUCCUUAUCUGAUUGCUAUACACAAUAUGUAUUGAAACAUCAUUAUGUACCCCAUGAAUAUGUGCAAUUAUUAUAAUUCAAUUUAAAAAAUAAAAUUAAACAAAGAAAGCAAGGGGUCAACAGCAUCCAUUGUAAAUGUGCUACCUCUCCACCUGUCUCAUUUAUGAAGUUGGGGGAGCUCCUGAACAGAUAACGAAGUGCAAUGAAAUUUGGAGAAGAAAUCUAGUACCUAGGUCUAGAGAGCAAAUGUGCAACUUCUUUGGAGAAUAUGUUUCAAAUAAAGCUUCAAGAGCUGUUCCUAGUAGCAUAUGGCUGUUGCUCUUGGUGUGGAGGUUCAUGGAGUAAUGUUUCUUGAUCAGAGGAUCUUGCAGGUUAUUGUUCACUUCUACUGCUGCCUCUACCCAAUGUAUAGUUUGAGUCCUAAGAGGCUUGGCCUUUUUACUUUGCCUUCCACCCCAAUAGGGACAGCACAGUGAGAAACAGAUCUACAAUGGCUCCGCAGACCUUUCCUUUGGAGAGAUGCUGGGCAGCUGCACACACUAAGAAAGUUUCCUGAAAUAGAAUUGCAUUAUCUGAGGCCUGGAAAAUGUGUUGGAAAAGCUCACUUAGCUAUGGGAAAGCCGAUGAAAGACCUGUCUGGUUUCUGAGCAUUGUCUGGGGAGCUCAAAUUCUAUAAAUGGGCCCCCAAGGUAUCCAUCAUUUAGCCCUUGCCAAGGCUGGGUCAACAUGCUGGCAAAGAACUGUCUGAACAUUGAAAAAUCCUCCAACCUAUUAUCUCCUGAGAGAAAGCUAGUUAUUUGAAAUACAAGUUGGAUUUUAAAAUUUCUAUCAGCAUGUUUUUAAAUUAAUCUUUUGUUAAUGUAAACAUACAGAAAAUUACAUGCAUUAUAAGUGAACAGAUCAAUGAAUUUUCAAAAAGUGAAUAUAACUUUAUAGCCACAUCAGAUCAAGAAACAGACAUUACCAGCACCCCAGGAGUCUUUCUACUAUUUCCUUCCUGAAUCCAGAAUAGGGUAACUACUAUUCUGGAUUGUAAUACAGAUAAGUUAACUUUGCCUGUUUUGUAUUUUAUGCAAAUAAAGUCAUACCAUAUACAGUACUGAUCUCAAGGAAGAAGCUUUUAGCAUUUUAAUAUUAAAUACAAUAACAUGUAAUUUUUUGGUAGAUUUUUAAAAUCGAAUUUAGAAAGUUCCCUUCUAUUUCUAGUUUGUUACAAAUUUUCAUCAUGAAUAUAUGUUGAAUUUUGUCAAAUGCUUUAUUUUAUUGAGAUAAUCUGC